rnacentral:rRNA from 1 species
UACGAAGGGGGCUAGCGUUGCUCGGAAUCACUGGGCGUAAAGGGUGCGUAGGCGGGUCUUUUAAGUCAGGGGUGAAAUCCUGGAGCUCAACUCCAGAACUGUCCUUUGAUACUGAAGAUCUUGAGUUCGGGAGAGGUGAGUGGAACUGCGAGUGUAGAGGUGAAAUUCGUAGAUAUUCGGAAGAACACCAGUGGCGAAGGCGGCUCACUGGCCCGGUACUGACGCUGAGGUGCGAAAGCGUGGGGAGCAAACGGG